UCUAAAUGAAAAUUGUUGUGUAAGUUCCUCCCAUAAAAACUAUAAAUUUAAUUUUUUCUUUUCCUAUAGAUCUCAGUAACAGUUUGAAAAGUACAAUCAACAAAGGUGCCGGUUUAAACAUCCUAAUUUAUGAAAUCAAUUUUAUUCAAUGGUGCGACUAAAUACAGAAUUAUAACUUAGGAACGAUUAAAUGAUCAUAUUUUGUUGAUUUUUAUCGGUUAUUUGUAAGAAUGAUACCCUUUAAAGUACUCAAGUCGGAUCCUUCAUUCAAUCUCAUUGUAUGAAAAACUUCUAGCGAUAGCAAAAUGUAGCCUCAUGGUGGACUUUACUAAGCCCAUGCCCAAGCUCAUUUAGGGGAAGUAUAACGAUCAUGUCCAUUGUAGGUUUGGCUUGGGCUUGGGCUUGGGCUUGGGCUUCACUUAACUUCUAAAUAUUUUUAAUUGCUAUGAACUUAAAAUGAGUUAAUAAUCAAUAAAUUAUUAUAUUCAAUAAUGAA
rnacentral:lncRNA from 1 species